rnacentral:lncRNA from 1 species
AUGCAUCAAAAGCAAGAAAAUGGAUAUGGGAAUAUAGCAGAAACUCAGAAGAGACCACUUGGAUUCCUAGAUUUUACUCUGUGUAGAAAUGUGUUUGAGAUUGUGAUCGCAAUAUGCUUAAUGGAAAUCAAUGGAAGUUGCUAUUUCUACCUUGUGAUGUUAUUUGUGAUAUGUCAACUCGACUUGAGUGGCCACCAGCCCUUGGAAGCUCCCAGAGUACCCUUGGCAGCUGAGCCAAGAUCUGGAACCAAGAACUGAUCCCUUACUCUGAGCUGCAGGGCCAUGGAAGCUGCUACGGCUCCUCGCUCUUCAUGUAUCUCCACCCUAAUUUCCACGGUCCUUUCCUGGAGGAGAAACUAUCAUCACCUCCUUGAGUAAAAAGCCUUUUCAGAAGUUUUCUGUGCAUAUCUGACACAGACAGGGUUUUACAUUCCAGGCCAGGGAGAUGGCAACUUUAUUCACAUCCAAUAUAAAAUUUGAAAUUAGGUAAUCAAUAAGAUGUGAAUGGGCAGAAAAGCAUAGAUGGAAAAUACAGC